AUGUCGUAUAUACGAAUAUCCGACAAAUCCGGAUCGGAUUUCGGAUAUCCGAUCCAAAUAUCCGAAAUUUACUUGUUUUUCCUUUUUUAUUUCUCAAAUUUUCUAAAAAAAAAAUAUAUGCAAAAAGAAAAUUCUCGAACCCUAAUUGACCUAAUUCCCUAAACACUCCUUUAUCUCAAAUGCAGUCACGCCUCUCUCUCUCUCUCUCUCCUCUAUCUCUCUCUGUCUCUCUCUCCUCUCUUGAGUCUCUUCUCGUUCUCUGGCUUUCUCCUCUCAAACUCUCAAGGCUCUCACUCUCUCAGAUCUCACUUCAAAAGUUCAAAUCCCUUACAUAAAUUGAAAUUUCUGAAUUUCUAGGGUUUUUAUUUUUUGAAAUUGGUCGUUGAAGGCUUGAAGCUCCAUUCAACCUCGUGCUCUCCGCCAUUGAAGGUCCUCUGUUUUUAAUUUUUGGUUGAACACUUGAACCUCGUGCUCACCGCCAUUGGAGAUCUUCUGUAUUUUACUUUUGGUACAGUCACAGGAAUCAACUGGUGUGCUUCAUGCAUUACCAAACUGGUGGAGCAUGGGAUCCUUAAUUCCUUAUGAUGUGAAUUCUGUUACAUUAAUUAGUGAAUCAACAAUCCAGCUUUGGGAUUUACGGACUUUGAACAUUUCUUUGUUUUGUAAUGUGACAAUUAGUAUGCAAGUUCUCUAAAAUUUCCUUAUAUUGCAAUAUGUUAUAAUUAGUUGGACUUCAGGUUUUUUUAGUCACUUUGUGAGUUUGUUCACAGGUUAUUCAAAAUUUCAAAUCAGUCACUUUGGUUUGUUCAGGUUGUAUAAUUACUUAAGUUAUUCAGGUUAUUUAAUUUUGGAAUUUGUUCAGGUUGUAUAAUAGCAAAAUAACUAAAAUAUGCA